AUUGAACGCUGGCGGCAGGCCUAACACAUGCAAGUCGAGCGAGCGGCGGACGGGUGAGUAAUGUAUGGGGACUGCCCGAUAGAGGGGGAUAACUACUGGAAACGGUGGCUAAUACCGCAUACUAUCGGAUAACCCAUAUGGGAUUAGCUAGUAGGUGGGGUAAAGGCUCACCUAGGCGACGAUCUCUAGCUGGUCUGAGAGGAUGAUCAGCCACACUGGGACUGAGACACGGCCCAGACUCCUACGGAGGCAGCAGUGGGGAAUAUUGCACAAUGGGCGCAAGCCUGAUGCAGCCAUGCCGCGUGUAUGAAGAAGGCCUUAGGGUUGUAAAGUUCUUUCGGUAUUGAGGCGUUAAAUACAGAAGAAGCACCGGCUAACUCCGUGCCAGCAGCCGCGGUAAUAC
rnacentral:rRNA from 1 species